CCUACGGGAGGCAGCAGUAAGGAAUAUUGGUCAAUGGACGAAAGUCUGAACCAGCCAUGCCGCGUGAAGGAUGAAGGCCCUCUGGGUUGUAAACUUCUUUUAUCUGGGACGAAAAAGCUCAUUCUUGAGCACUUGACGGUACCAGAGGAAUAAGCACCGGCUAACUCCGUGCCAGCAGCCGCGGUAAUACGGAGGGUGCAAGCGUUAUCCGGAUUCACUGGGUUUAAAGGGUGCGUAGGUGGGUCUGUAAGUCAGUGGUGAAAUCUCCGGGCUUAACUCGGAAACUGCCAUUGAUACUAUAGGUCUUGAAUCAUCUGGAGGUAAGCGGAAUAUGUCAUGUAGCGGUGAAAUGCUUAGAUAUGACAUAGAACACCAAUUGCGAAGGCAGCUUACUACGGGUGUAUUGACACUGAGGCACGAAAGCGUGGGGAUCAAACAGGAUUAGAUACCCUGGUAGUCCACGCCCUAAACGAUGGAUACUCGACAUCAGCGAUACACUGUUGGUGUCUGAGCGAAAGCAUUAAGUAUCCCACCUGGGAAGUACGACCGCAAGGUUGAAACGUCAAAUGAAAUUGACGGCUGGAGAGNGCGAGGACGACGACGAGGGGAGGAGG
rnacentral:rRNA from 1 species